UACGAGCUACCCCAAGCGUUAGUCCGGAAUCAUUGGGCGUAAAGGGUGUGUAUGGUGGUUUCUUUAGUCUUCUGUCAAAAAUCUGGGGCUCAACCCCCAGACUUGCAGUGGAAACGGAGAGACUCGAGGAUGCGAGAGGUGAAUGGAACUCAUGGAGUAGGGGUGAAAUCCGUUGAUAUCAUGGGGAACACCAAAAGCGAAGGCAAUUCACUGGCGCAUAUCUGACACUGAAACACGAAAGCGUGGGUCGCGAACGGG
rnacentral:rRNA from 1 species